GGCGACGUAGCCAAGCGGACUAAGGCAGGGGACUGCAAAUCCCUCAUUCCCGGGUUCAAAUCCCGGCGUCGCCU
rnacentral:tRNA from 1 species